rfam:Brassica oleracea var. oleracea cultivar TO1000 chromosome C7, whole genome shotgun sequence
CUUCAUGGAAUCAUGCUAGAUUGGUGACAUUCGUGUUGCAGUUCUGUCUAAAUUUCUCCUGGCUUAACUGUGUCAAAGCAAUGUCUAGAUUU